GUCCGUCGUGAAAAGGGAAACAACCCAGACCGCCAGCUAAGGUCCCAAAGUUGUGGUUAAGUGGUAAACGAUGUGGGAAGGCUUAGACAGCUAGGAGGUUGGCUUAGAAGCAGCCAUCCUUUAAAGAAAGCGUAAUAGCUCACUAGUCGAGUCGGCCUGCGCGGAAGAUGUAACGGGGCUCAAACCACACACCGAAGCUGCGGGUGUCACGCAAGUGACGCGGUAGAGGAGCGUUCUGUAAGCCUGUGAAGGUGAGUUGAGAAGCUUGCUGGAGGUAUCAGAAGUGCGAAUGCUGACAUGAGUAACGACAAUGGGUGUGAAAAACACCCACGCCGAAAGACCAAGGGUUCCUGCGCAACGUUAAUCGACGCAGGGUUAGUCGGUUCCUAAGGCGAGGCUGAAAAGCGUAGUCGAUGGGAAACAGGUUAAUAUUCCUGUACUUCUGGUUACUGCGAUGGAGGGACGGAGAAGGCUAGGCCAGCUUGGCGUUGGUUGUCCAAGUUUAAGGUGGUAGGCUGAAAUCUUAGGUAAAUCCGGGGUUUCAAGGCCGAGAGCUGAUGACGAGUCGUCUUUUAGAUGACGAAGUGGUUGAUGCCAUGCUUCCAAG
rnacentral:rRNA from 1 species